rnacentral:rRNA from 1 species
GCAGUUAAUUUCCUGGCAAUUGCAUCCGGGCUGAAAUGGAGCUUGGGUUAGGCGGCAGUAUAAGUCAAGUCGUGGAGAAUCUAUCUGAGCUUCAACUCGUAAACCUGGCAUUGAUACUAUUUAUCUUGUAAUAUUAUUGAGGUAGCGGGAUAGUCAUGUAGCGGUGGAGAUGGCUUAGAUAUGACAUAGAACACCGAUUGCGAAGGCAGCUUGCUAAACAAAUUAUUGACGCUGAGGCACGAAAGCGUGGGGAUCAAACAGGAUUAGAUACCCUGGUAGUCCACGCCCCUAAACGAUGAUUACUGGACAUUUGCGAUAUACAGUGAGUGUCUGAGCGAAAGCAUUAAGUAAUCCACCUGGGAAGUACGUCCGCAAGGAUGAAACUCAAAGGAAUUGACGGGGGUCCGCACAAGCGGUGGAGUAUGUGGUUUAAUUUGAUGAUACGCGAGGAACCUUACCUGGGCUAGAAUGCGCGUGACCGGUUCUGAAAGGAACUCUUUUAGCAAUAGACACAAAGCAAGGUGCUGCAUGGCUGUCGUCAGCUCGUGCCGUGAGGUGUUGGGUUAAGUCCCGCAACGAGCGCAACCCCUAUUUUCAGUUGCCAACAGGUAAUGCUGGGAACUCUGAAGAAACUGCCGCCGUAAGGCGUGAGGAAGGAGGGGAUGAUGUCAAGUCAUCAUGGCCUUUAUGCCCAGGGCUACACACGUACUACAAUGGGGAGGACAAAGGGUCGCUACCUGGCAACAGGAUGCUAAUCUCAAAAACCUUCUCUCAGCUCGGAUUGGGGUGUGCAACUCGACCCCACGAAGCUGGAAUCGCUAGUAAUCGUAGAUCAGCAAUGCUACGGUGAAUACGUUCCCGGACCUUGCACACACCGCCCGUCAAGCCAUGGAAGCCGGGUGUACCUAAAGUCGGUAACCGAAAGGAUCUGCCUAGGGUAAAAUCGGUAACUGGGGCUAAGUCGUAACAAGGUAACC